rfam:Oreochromis niloticus linkage group LG8-24, whole genome shotgun sequence.
GCUCCAGUGGCGCAAUCGGUUAGCGCGCGGUACUUAUAUGACAGUAUUGGGCUGAGCAAUGCCGAGGUUGUGAGUUCAAGCCUCACCUGGAGCA